rnacentral:rRNA from 1 species
GAUGAACGCUGACAGAAUGCUUAACACAUGCAAGUCAACUUGAACUUCGGUUUGGGUGGCGGACGGGUGAGUAACGCGUAAAGAACUUGCCUCACAGCUAGGGACAACAUUUGGAAACGAAUGCUAAUACCUGAUAUUAUGAUUUUAGGGCAUCCUAGAAUUAUGAAAGCUAUAUGCGCUGUGAGAGAGCUUUGCGUCCCAUUAGCUAGUUGGAGAGGUAACGGCUCACCAAGGCGAUGAUGGGUAGCCGGCCUGAGAGGGUGAACGGCCACAAGGGGACUGAGACAUGGCCCUUACUCCUACGGGAGGCAGCAGUGGGGAAUAUUGGACAAUGGACCAAGAGUCUGAUCCAGCAAUUCUGUGUGCACGAUGAAGUUUUUCGGAAUGUAAAGUGCUUUCAGUUGGGAAGAAAAAAAUGACGGUACCAACAGAAGAAGUGACGGCUAAAUACGUG